CCACCACUGCCUGUCAGGGUCCCAGAGAGGCUCCAGGGAGCAGCAGAGGCCAGGGCACAGCCCCUUGAGGAGCCAGCCCAGGAAGAGGGGAGCAGCAGUUGUUCAGGGGCCCAGUUCAAGUGCCGCCUCCUCCAAGAAGCCUCCGGUCCUAGCCUGCCCUCUGCGAACCCCCAGGAGUCGGGAGUCGAUGGGAGCGCAUGCCUCCCUCUGUGCGCACCCACCUGGAAGGCUCAGCUCCACGGGGCAGUGAUGUGUAUUUUGUCAUCAGCGGAGUAGCCCUGUGUCCUCCAACCCCAACGAGAGGGGCGGAGGACCAGGAGGAAGAGCGGCAGGACCAUGAACAACAGUACCUGUCUGUCCGAAGAGCUCAUCUGGCCCCCCUCGGUCAGGUACGUCCUCUCCACCUACACGGCGGUGCUGCUGGGGCUGGGCCUGAUGCUCAAC
rnacentral:lncRNA from 1 species